rnacentral:rRNA from 1 species
GUGGGGAAUUUUGGACAAUGGGCGCAAGCCUGAUCCAGCAAUGCCGCGUGCAGGAAGAAGGCCUUCGGGUUGUAAACUGCUUUUGUACGGAACGAAACGGUCCGGGUUAAUACCCUGGGCUAAUGACGGUACCGUAAGAAUAAGCACCGGCUAACUACGUGCCAGCAGCCGCGGUAAUACGUAGGGUGCAAGCGUUAAUCGGAAUUACUGGGCGUAAAGCGUGCACAGGCGGUUUUGUAAGACAGGCGUGAAAUCCCCGGGCGCAACCUGGGAAUUGCGCUUGUGACUGCAAGGCUGGAGUGCGGCAGAGGGGGAUGGAAUUCCGCGUGUAGCAGUGAAAUGCGUAGAUAUGCGGAGGAACACCGAUGGCGAAGGCAAUCCCCUGGGCCUGCACUGACGCUCAUGCACGAAAGCGUGGGGAGCAAACAGGAUUAGAAACCCUAGUAGUCC